UGUGUGUGUCGCUGCUCCCUCCCAGCACUGUGUGUACGUCUGUGUGUUGCUGCUCCCUCCCAGCACUGUGUGUACGUCUGUGUGUUGCUGCUCCCUCCCAGCACUGUGUGUACGUCUGUGUGUGUUGCUGCUCCCUCCCAGCACUGUGUGUACGUCUGUGUGUGUUGCUGCUCCCUCCCAGCACUGCGUACAUCUGUGUGUGUGUGUGUGUUGCUCUGUCUCUCUCUCUCUCUCUAGUUAGUAAAGAACAGGUAACGUUUGCCGUGGAAGACUCUACAGUAUACAUCCCUUCCCUCUACGGCCGCCGCUGCUCUACCCGGGCAUUGCCACAUCCACUCGGGUCUCCAAGAAACCUCCAAUGGUUCAGCUGUGACGUCGGAUAUUUUUGUUAGUGUCGCAAAUAUCCGACUGGAGAGCUUCACAACACCGGUCCUCCGCUGAAAGGUUGAUUUCCUGGUCUACCGGCCCCAGGAGGAGUGGUCGAUUUCCUGGUCUACCGUGGAUAUGAGUGGUUGAUUGCCUGGUCUACCCCUGGAUGACGCGGUGGUUCCUAUGGAGGGGAGGACUCACACAAGCGAUAAGCACCUGUCGGACCUGGAGACUCCCCCCUGAGCCUGACGGUGGAGCUGUGGGCCCUGCACCAGACCCCCACACCCCCCCACACCACCCACAGCAGGGGCAGGGCGUUGAGACUCCCCCCACAGGCUAAGACAGGGAGGGACUUGAAGAUCCAGGUUUUUGUCAUCUGCACAGGAAUUGACACAUGGUAUUUGGGAGCAAUGUCUAAGGUUCUGCCCAUGCAGCUGAAGGGUGCCAAUGCCUACACAUGCAUCGACCACAGGUGUGCGCUGGACAUUGCCUACAAUUGAUGGUGCAAAUGGGAGCGUCGGCGGAGAUUGAGCUGGCUGAAGGUUGGCAGCCGGGUCAAGCUCGCAACGGACAAGGAGUUCUGUGAGAUGUGCUCGGCCGAUGUUGUUGACCUUGAAUACAUCAAUCUUACUAAGGUGGUGGAGGUGUGGAAACUACAUCUACAUUGACGACGGACUCAAGGAGAUCCCUGAGACUACUACUACCACUACUAUUACUAUUACUAUUACUUCACUCUUUAUUGCUAUGUGUACUAUUAAAUCCUCUAUACUGCUAAGUUAUGUGCACUAUUGAAUCCCUUAUAUAGUACUUCCAUGACAGCUGAUCAGUAAUACUACUACUACUACUACUACUAUGACCACUCAAUCCCUGGUAAGUACAAUGUCAUUAUCAUCAUCAUUAUUUAGGUUAAGGUCCAUUUAAUUCAAUCUUCCUGAGCGGUUGGACGCUUUAUGGCUCUCCUCCAUUCUACUCUGUCUUCCGCCCAAUGCUUAUACGGUCCUAUCAAUCCCAAAUCUUCCUGUACACACCUUCUCCAUGUUUUCCUAGGUCUACCAACUGGUCUCCUUCCUUCUACCUCCAUUCUGCUCUGUCUUCUGCCCAAUGCUCAUCCAAUCCCAUCACUUCCAAGUCUUCCUGUACACACCUUCUCCAGGUUUUCCUAGGUCUACCAACUGGUCUCCUUCCUUCUACCUCCAAUCUCUCCAUCACUCCCAGCACUGUAUCCUCCCCUGCUCUCUUUACAUGUCCAAACCAUCGGAGUCUUUCCCUUCUGAGCACUUUCCAGGUCCUCUACUAAAACUCCCAGCACUGUGUCCUCCCCUGCUCUCUUUACAUGUCCAAACCAUUGGAGUCUUUCCCUUCUGAGCACUUUCCAGGUCCUCUACUAAAACUCCCAGCACUGUGUCCUC